GAGUAUUUAGUUUAUAUAAAAACAAUUGUUUUGAAAACAUUCUAAAAGAUACCCAAUCUUAAUACUUU
rnacentral:tRNA from 1 species